UGUCGGCUGGAUCAGAGAUUGGCUGGCACAAAUUGAAACCCUUAACAUUUAGGAAAAGACAAUGUCUCUGAAUGCAGAAACAAAAGCAGCGAUCGUUGCUGAAUACGCACAAUGUGC
rnacentral:ncRNA from 1 species